GAUGAAGAACGUAGCGAAAUGCGAAAAGUAGUGUGAAUUGCAGAAUUCCGUGAAUCAUCGAAUCUUUGAACGCACAUUGCGCCCCUCGGUAUUCCGUGGGGCAUGCCUGUUCGAGCGUCAUUUACACCCUCAAGCUCUGCUUGGUGUUGGGCGUCUGUCCCGCUUUAUGCGUGGACUCGCCCCAAAGUCAUUGGCAGCGGUCGUGCCAGCUUCUCGCGCAGCACAUUUGCGUUUCUUGAAGUUUGGUGGAUCAGCAUCCAGUAAGUUCUUUUAUGACUUGACCUCGGAUCAGGUAGGGAUACCCGCUGAACUUAAGCAUAUCAAUAAGCGGAG
rnacentral:misc_RNA from 1 species